rnacentral:rRNA from 1 species
CGGCGGACGGGUGAGUAACACGUGGAUAACCUACCUAUAAGACUGGGAUAACUUCGGGAAACCGGAGCUAAUACCGGAUAAUAUAUUGAACCGCAUGGUUCAAUAGUGAAAGACGGUUUUGCUGUCACUUAUAGAUGGAUCCGCGCCGCAUUAGCUAGUUGGUAAGGUAACGGCUUACCAAGGCAACGAUGCGUAGUCGACCUGAGAGGGUGAUCGGCCACACUGGAACUGAGACACGGUCCAG